GGGAGGAGUGUGCAGGGGGAGAGGCCUGCGCUGAGUGGGUGCGAGCCCGCGAGUCGGCGAGGAUCCGGGUUCCAAGAUGGAUGAUCUGUUACCCACUGUGUUGGACUUAUCUAUGCAGGGAGCGUGCUGACUGAGGGAAGCCAAAAAAAGAAUCUGAAAACAUAAGGAAGCUAUAAAAUGGGGAAAUGUUUUGAAGCCAAAGUCCUGCUUCCACUAUGAAGAAGAAACCAAGACUUGGAAAAAUUGGACUAGAAAUGGUGCAUGAGAUUCAACAAUGAAGCAGGAGCAUUCGGUACUCAGCCAGCAGCCUGGGAUCAGGGACAUGGACGCCCUCUUGGUACACGCCUGAGGGUCAUGGCCAGAGCCUGCUUGCUAGCCCCAACUCCAGGGGGUCCUUCUGGACCUGGGAAUGGACCACCACGGUGACCUACAAGAGGAAGCCCUUCUAUCCAGCCCUCAUCUGCUAUCUGAGCCCAUGGUGGCCAUGGUCUGGGAAGGCCCCAAUGUGGUGGGGCCAAUGUGGUGGGGCCAAUGUGGUGACUCAGCUGAGGCUGCCCCCAGCACCAUCAUGAGGAUGUCAGCAUCCACCUCAGCAAGAGCAUCGUCCACACCAGUGACUCCAUGAAGGAGGGUCAGAGGAGAUCCAGCUAUGGUUCCAGAACAAAGAGCUAGUGGACAGGGUAGAUGGACACUUCCAGAGCAGCAUCCACCCAGCCUGAGCACUCAGGCUGCCCUCAGCCACCCCAGAAGCCACCCAGGAUCAACUACCUUUGUUGACAAGGACUUGAGCCCACACCUAUGGUCUGCCCAUCUGUCCCAGACUACCUCCCUGUCCAUUUUUUUAAUGCCUUUAGUAUCCUAAGCCAGCAUGAAAUUGGACAAAAUCCUUUCUGUACCCACGUGCUAAACAAUCUUUGAGGUAUCUACAAAAGUGUGUAGUAUGACCUCCUCUCCCCCGAAGGGAGGAGCCCAGACAUUAAAUUCACUGUAUUGUGCAGGGGGGUGGAUCUCUCAUUAAAGUUUCUGCCAUCUCUGAGGUAGGGAAAAGGACUUUAUGCAAACUUAUAAGAGUUUGAGAGUUUAAAUAAAGCUUACCCUCUUUCUCUCUCUCCCCCCCUCUCUCUCUCACACAAACAACAUUGUAGCCACAAUUCUUUUUCAUUACUGUACAAUAUUUUACUGUAUACAAUGGAAAACACAUUUAUUUUUUUUAAGAUUUCAUUUUUAAGUAAUCUCUACACCCAACAUGGACUUGAACUCACAACCCUGAGAUCAAGAGUUACACAUUCCACAUCUGAGCCAGCCAAGCACCCCAUCUACAGUGGAAAACAAAUUUGUGAUAUGUAAUCAAUCUAAGUUUAUUCAUCAUAUAUUGUAAACAUAUACAUAUACAAUGAAUAUGAACUUUUAGGUUGUUGCUAGCCAAGAUAAGGAGGAGUACUAUAAAUAUUCUUGUACAUGUUUUUUGUUAAUAUAUGAAUGCCUCUCUACUAGGUAUACACCUAAGGGUAACAUUUCUGUGACAUCAGGGUAUACAUCUGUUCAACUUUAAUAGACAGUACCAAAUUUCUCCAAAUUUGUUGAAACAAUAUAUUUGAGAAUGCACAAAAAGAUCCAUCUGCAUCACUUGGUAUUGUCAAUUUCCUCCCUUUUAUGGUUUGAAUUUGCAUUUCCCUCAUAACUCAUCUUUUCACAUGCUUAUUGAUGAUUUAGAUGUCUUCUUUAGUAAGAUGCUUGUUUAAGACUUACCCAUUUUAAAAAAUGGCAUGUCUUUUCUUGUUGAUUUGUAAGAAUUCUUUACAUAUUGUAGAUAUAAGACCAUUGUCAAACACAGGUUUUGUAAAUAUCUUCUGCCUAUCUGUGGCUUGUUUUUCAUUCUCAUAAUGGUACAUUUGGAUGGACAGAAGCUUUUAACUUAUAUGAGUAUUACUUUUGUGUGUGUGCUGUUUAAGAAAUCUUGACCUCUCCCAAGGUCAUAAAGAUAUCCUCCUAUGUUACCUUCUAAAAGCAUUUUCAUUUUAUUAUUCCCAUUUAGAGUUACUGGGCCUAUUUCUUUGUCUAUCGUAUGUAAAAUCCAAUUAAUUUAAAAAUUAUUUCCCAGCUUCAUAAUCCUACAGAACAUAUGUUCAUAAUUGCUAAUAUCUUCAUUAGAUAGUUCCUUUCAAUCCAAUAAAGAAUCACUAAGUAUAUUCCCAUGUGCCAGGGCAUUGUGCUUAAUCUAAGAAUUUAAAAUUUGAACUCAGGACUCAGGUGGUAAUUUUCUCAGAGCUCCUAGUCUAGUGUGUGAUCUGUCCAGAUCCACCUAUGCCUCCUGCCUCCACCACCAUGUCUCCAUAGAUUUCCCUUUAGAGGCAAAGUCCACUCAGAUUUGCAUCUAAGGCUGGGGCUUGAUGCUUGUCCUCCAGAGUCUGGGCAGGAAGAUGUAGCGCAUACUCGCAAGAGUUAGUCCUUUGCCAGCUGGAGGUUCAAAGAGAGAGCCUGAAACCUGGAUCAUUUGUGAGUUGCAGAUCCCUGUGCCAAGUAAGAGCCUACAUUCCAGCCAAGUCAGUGGUGGCAAAGAUCCAUUGUCCAGUCACUUGGAUUGGCUCAAAAAUGCUUGGAGCAGCUAAAAUAUCAGUAACAGGAGAAAUGAUAAAUAUGAAUGAUUUGUGGUAGCUCAUCGCAUCCUAACUAUUCUGCUUUGCUGGCCUCACUAGUUCUUCCCAUCAAUCAUCAAUCACAUAACUAACACCCAGCUACCAAUUCUUAGACUGGGGAAGGUGGUCAGUAAAGGAAUAGCAGCCUCUACCUCAAUUCCAGGGUCUUUUUUCCUUUGGAGACUUAUGAAGCUGGUCCAGAACAUAAACCUUUAACAUAAACAAGCCCAGCCCAAGACCCUUGUAUCUUAGACUCCUUGUGUCUUAGGACUGUCUUUGGGGAUUAGAGCUCCUUACCUGGUUCUUCCUGGCCCCGACCACCUCAAAUUAGAAUAUCCCACCCUCCCCAGGAAGUCCCACCCUCCAAAAUUCACCUACAACAUUGAUGGCUCUCGUCCCAGACAAGCCGAUCACAACUUCCAUAAGAGAUGGAGUCUAGACCUUGUAGGGAAAGGGGCCUUACUCUUUCAUUUUUCCUGGUAUUUUUUUCUCCACUUUCUUUCACCAGCUUACUUCCCAAUCCCUCCAGCAAAAACCCUGAAAUACUCAGAUGAUGCUUCUCUACCUAGUACUUUCUUCUCAAAGGAAGUCUUCCUGGGUGGCAGAUAGCCUUUUCCUAAAUAAAGGGAAGAUUACAAGAAUAAGGGGUCAAAGGCACAGAAUUGAAAUGCAAAUGUGGGUUCUUAACUCUUGAUGUAUUUUUAAAAAGUAAGGAAACACUGAGUGAGAUUUUUCUGAGAAUACUUUAAACAUGAAGAGAAGGACUCCUGACUGGGUCAUUUGGUAAACCAUUGGACUCUUGAUCUUGGGGUCGUGAGUUCAAGCCCCCAUGUUGGGGUAGAGAUGACUUUUUAAAAAAAGUUUGGUAGUGCCCGUAGA